rnacentral:rRNA from 1 species
AACGAACGCUGGCGGCAGGCCUAACACAUGCAAGUCGAACGGGUCCUUCGGGACUAGUGGCGGACGAGUGAGUAACGCGUGGGAACGUGCCCUUUGGUUCGGAAUAGCCCUGGGAAACUGGGAGUAAUACCGGAUGAGCCCUACGGGGGAAAGAUUUAUCGCCAAAGGAUCGGCCCGCGUUGGAUUAGGUAGUUGGUGGGGUAAUGGCCUACCAAGCCGACGAUCCAUAGCUGGUUUGAGAGGAUGAACAGCCACACUGGGACUGAGACACGGCCCAGACUCCUACGGGAGGCAGCAGUGGGGAAUCUUAGACAAUGGGGGAAACCCUGAUCUAGCCAUGCCGCGUGAUCGAUGAAGGCCUUAGGGUUGUAAAGAUCUUUCAGUGGGGAAGAUAAUGACGGUACCCACAGAAGAAGCCCCGGCUAACUCCGUGCCAGCCGCCGCCGUAA